CUACAGCCAUACCACCCUGAACGUGCCCAAUCCCGUCUGAUCUCGGAAGCUAAGCAGGGUCAGGCCUGGUUAGUACUUGGAUGGGAGAAAAGUGGAAUAUGAUUAGU
rnacentral:rRNA from 1 species